rnacentral:rRNA from 1 species
GACGAACGCUGGCGGCGUGCUUAACACAUGCAAGUCGAACGGAAAGGCCCUGCUUUUGUGGGGUGCUCGAGUGGCGAACGGGUGAGUAACACGUGAGUAACCUGCCCUUGACUUUGGGAUAACUUCAGGAAACUGGGGCUAAUACCGGAUAGGAGCUCCUGCUGCAUGGUGGGGGUUGGAAAGUUUCGGCGGUUGGGGAUGGACUCGCGGCUUAUCAGCUUGUUGGUGGGGUAGUGGCUUACCAAGGCUUUGACGGGUAGCCGGCCUGAGAGGGUGACCGGCCACAUUGGGACUGAGAGACGGCCCAGACGCCUACGGGAGGCAGCAGUGGGGAAUAUGGCACAAUGGGCGGAAGCCUGAUGCAGCAACGCCGCGUGCGGGAUGACGGCCUUCGGGUUGUAAACCGCUUUCGCCUGUGACGAAGCGUGAGUGACGGUAAUGGGUAAAGAAGCACCGGCUAACUACGUG